AACGAACGCUGGCGGCAGGCCUAACACAUGCAAGUCGAACGCACCGCAAGGUGAGUGGCGCACGGGUGAGUAACACGUGGGAAUGUAUCCUUUGGUUCGGAAUAACGUCUGGAAACGGACGCUAAUACCGGAUGAGCCCUUAGGGGGAAAGAUUUAUCGCCGAAGGAGCAGCCCGCGUCUGAUUAGGUAGUUGGUGGGGUAAAGGCCUACCAAGCCGACGAUCAGUAGCUGGUCUGAGAGGAUGAUCAGCCACACUGGGACUGAGACACGGCCCAGACUCCUACGGGAGGCAGCAGUGGGGAAUAUUGGACAAUGGGCGCAAGCCUGAUCCAGCCAUGCCGCGUGAGUGAUGAAGGCCUUCGGGUUGUAAAGCUCUUUCGCACACGACGGUGAUGACGGUAGUGUGAGAAGAAGCCCCGGCUAACUUCGUGCCAGCCGCCGCGGUAAAAC
rnacentral:rRNA from 1 species